AGGGGAAUCUGAUUUCGUUGAGUUGAAAUCCAAUUGCUCUAAGGUUUUAUUGCGCUACCGCUCUCAAAACUUGGAAUACAGAUACACGUUGACAGAAUACCCAUGGUUUGGAGAAAUUUCUAAGAAUUCUAAAACAGUUCUACAAAUAACUCACACCCUAACAAUGCGCCGCCUAUAGUCAAAGAUCAGUCCUAAGUCAAGGACUGCCACCUGUAAUUGCAGCAAUGAUAGUAACACUGGAAAAAUUUUAAGUUUUAAAGGCCGAUUAGCAUUCGAUGGUAAAGUACACCGCCAUGUCAUCAUAAGCAAAUAUUAUUGCCACGAUGUCAGUCAAAAUUCAACUCACAAAUGAGAAAAUGUGAGCCACCUGGAACAUAACCAAAAUUCGCAUUAAAUUGAUAGUCCUACAAAUAAGCAAACUAUAUUUAAAGAACAUUUCCAAUUAAUAAAAU
rnacentral:sRNA from 1 species